rnacentral:rRNA from 1 species
AGCGAACGCUGGCGGCAGGCUUAACACAUGCAAGUCGAACGCACUCUUCGGAGUGAGUGGCAGACGGGUGAGUAACACGUGGGAACGUGCCCUUCAGUUCGGAAUAACUUUGGGAAACUAAAGCUAAUACCGGAUACGCCCUUCGGGGGAAAGAUUUAUCGCUGAAGGAUCGGCCCGCGUCUGAUUAGCUAGUUGGUGGGGUAAUGGCCUACCAAGGCGACGAUCAGUAGCUGGUCUGAGAGGAUGAUCAGCCACACUGGGACUGAGACACGGCCCAGACUCCUACGGGAGGCAGCAGUGGGGAAUAUUGGACAAUGGGCGAAAGCCUGAUCCAGCCAUGCCGCGUGAGUGAUGAAGGCCUUAGGGUUGUAAAGCUCUUUUACCCGGGAAGAUAAUGACUGUACCGGGAGAAUAAGCCCCGGCUAACUUCGUGCCAGCAGCCGCAGUAAAAC